AUGUGUAUGUUUCUGAAUUCACUGUCUUCUAUGCAGCUGGGUCCAGACAUAUGAGAGGGACAAACCAGUGAGUGUCUCCGAGUUCCUCCUCUUGGGACUCUCCAGGCAGCCCCAGCAGCAGCAUCUCCUCUUUGUGUUCUUCCUCAGCAUGUACCUGGCCACUGUCCUGGGGAACCUGCUCAUCAUCCUGGCCAUAAGCAUAGACUCCCGCCUGCACACCCCCAUGUACUUCUUCCUCAGCAACAUGUCCUUUGUGGACAACUGCUUCUCCACCACCGUCCCCAAGAUGCUGGCCAAUCACAUACUCAGGACUCAAACCAUCUCCUUCUCUGGCUGUCUCAUGCAGAUGUAUUUUAUCAGUGAGCUUGCUGACAUGGACAAUUUCCUCCUGGCUGUGAUGGCCUAUGACCGCUUUGUCGCCGUGUGCCGCCCCUUACAUUACACAGCAAAGAUGACCCAUCAGCUCUGUGCCCUGCUGGUCACUGGAUCAUGGGUGGUUGCCAACUCGAAUGCUCUGCUGCACACCCUGCUGAUGGCUCGACUCUCAUUCUGUGCAGACAACACCAUCCCCCACAUCUUCUGCGAUGUGACUCCCCUCCUGAAACUCUCCUGUUCAGACACACACCUCAGUGAAGUGAUGAUUCUUACUGAGGCUGCCCUAGUCACGAUCACCCCAUUUCUUUGCCUCCUGGCUUCCUAUAUGCACAUCACCUGCGUUGUCCUGAGGGUCCCAUCCACAAAGGGAAGAUGGAAAGCCUUCUCCACCUGUGGCUCCCACCUGGCUGUGGUUCUCCUCUUCUAUGGCACCAUCAUGUCUCCAUAUUUCAGAACUUCAUCCUCCCACUCAGCUCAGAGAGAUAUAGCAGCUGCUGUGAGGUUCACAGUGGUGACUCCCGUGAUGAAUCCUUUGAUCUACAGCCUGAGGAACAAGGACAUAAAAGGGGCUCUUGUAAAAGUGGUUGCUGUGAAAUUUUUUUCUGUUCAA